AUAUCUACAUAUGUAGAUUAGAAACUUUCGGUCGGGUUCAGUUUAAUUUUGAUCGGGUUAGUUAAUACAUUGUUGAGUCUUUUGAUCAGCAUGGACAUGGUUUGAUGUGUGUUCGGUACCACAUAACAUGCGAGAAUACCUUCUCCGGUAUGUUGGAGAGAAGAUUAGCAAGAAAAAAUCGCGUGAGAAAAUGAGAAGUUGACAGAAAAAGAUUUUUUUCAUUAUCGAAAGGGACAUGUACAACAUCCAUAAUGGUGUGUCUGAUGGAAUUUGUCAUUUCAUUAAUAAAUAAUGCUGAUAAAGAUGCAAACUUAGCAAUUGUGCCUAAAAAGUGACAGCUUUGACAAAGAAAUAUAUCCAUAUAUAACAGUUACUGGUACUGUAUGAAUGCAGUGAAAGGAUCCAGAUGAACAAAUGAAGAGAUUAAGUACAAUGUACAUCAAUUACUUGGAUGAAGAGAAUCUGCAACAUGGGGAAAUAAUGUUCCUAUAGAAAAGUCAAAGAAUGUAUACAUGUGAGAUUCUGAAGUAGCCGUACAUGAUGAGUAGGAAUUUGAAGUGAAUUAUGGGAAAAGUGAAAUGGUAAAAAAGAAACUGCUAGCGCUACUGUGCAGACUACCAUCAAUCAACAUGAUCAACAUAAUCAAGUAAUCCUUCUGAAGAUGGAGUAGUACACAAGCACAAUUUUUUAAAGAAAGAAAAGUCAAUGGAAUGAAGAAAAGGUGAAGUGAAUUGUCACUCAUUAUAUUUUAAAUUUAAUGUGGACAUGGUCAUUAUUUUAGUUAUGUCAUAACCUUCUUAUCAAUUUUAAGCAGUGCAGAUAGAUGCAUUUCUUAUUGCUUUGAAUAGAAUAAAUUAUGAAAAAAGUUUGUAUAUGUUUUUUGAUAUAGAAUUUAUAUUAAAAAAAAAAUUAUCAAUUACUGCAGUUUUGAAUUUCAGUACACUAGAAAUUUUUCUGCCCUGCCAUGAAUAUGGCUGGGGCAUAUAGAGUUUGUCAUGUCCGUCUUCUGUCCUUUCAACCUUCUGUCUGUCCUUCCAUUCCGCUUUGCUUUUAGCUCAGUUCAAAACUAAGUUUCAAAGAAACUAUUCAAGAUAUUUUUAUCAAUCUUCAUAUGCUGAUACAUAUUGAAAAGAGGUAUUCAAUUUCAUCAACGUACCUUGACCUUUCCUUUAACUUUGACCUCACUUUUCUUAAAUUAGUGUUUAGCUCAGUUUUAAAGAAACCAUUCAAGAUAGUGUAAUCAAACUUCAUAUGCUGAUACAUACUGAAUCAACAUUUUUUUACCUUGACCUUUCCUUUGACCUUGACCGUACUUAUCUUAAAUAAGUGUUUAGCUCAGUUUUAAAGAAACCAUUCAGGAUAGCGUAAUCAAACUUCAUUUGCUGAUACAUACUGAUGAGAGCUAUUCAACUGCAUCAACAUUUUUUGAUCUUGAUUUUUCCUUUGACCUUCACCUCACUUUUUCUAAAUUAGUGUCAAACUUCAUAUUCUGAUACAGACUGAUGUAAGGUAUUUGACUGUAUCAACAUUUUUGACCUUGACAUUUCAUUUGACCUUGACUUCAUUUUUCUUGAAAUGGUGAUUAGCUCAGUGUUAAUUAAACGGUUUCCAUUCAAAAUAUUUUUAUCAAACUUAUUUUGCUUAUGCGUAUUAGUGAGAACUAUUCAACUGCAUUAAAAAUGUAUGACCUUGAACUUUCCUGUGACCUGGACCUCACUUUUCUUAAAUUUGCAUUUUGCUUAGUUUUAAAGAAACCAUUAAAUAUAAUUUUAUGUGAGCUUAUGCACUUAACAGAAUUUGGUGGGAAUUUAUCAUCUAUAUCCAACUUUUUCGAUUUCAAUGUUAAAGAAACUAUUUUAAGAUAUUCUCAUCAAAUUUCAUACACUAAAAAUAUUUUUAUGUUGCAUUACUAAUAUGCCCACAUGGUGCAGUGGUUAAAGCUCUAGAGUUGCGGAGUAAGGAGUUGAUCCUUAUGUCGCUGGUUCGAAUCCCACUGUGGGACGUGGAGACUGUAUAAACCGAGGUCCCAUGUCACAGUAGGUGCUGGCAUAAAAAGAUCCCUCACUGCUUAAUGGCCCUUAGUGCCGAGUAUAGGUCAAAAUUUGCAGCUCUCCACCGGCAAGUGGUGGCAUCUCCAUAUGAGUGAAAAAUUCUCGAGAGGGAUGUUAAACAAUAAACAAGCAAAUAAAAAUUAAUAUACCCUCAGCGGGGCAUUCAUGUCCUAUGGACAUAUUUCUAGUUUUGCCCUUUUUUUACAUUUGUACAUGGAUAUACUUUUUAUUUUUGCUCUGUAAACAACAACAACAAAAACAUUAUACCAUAUAAUAUGCACAAAAUUAUAUGCUAGGAAUGUAUUGUGAAAGAUGCAUUUCAGCUGACAAAUGUAGCAUCUUUAAGCCAGCUUUUUAAAAAUUUUUCUGAAUGACUUUCAGGUACUUCUUUUAUAUUUGCAACUCAUUUAUAGGGAUGUAUUAGUAUGGUAGCCUGUCUGCCAACACCUUGUAGAUGAGAUUCUAGCACAUAUUGUGUGAAAUGGUUCUCUUAAUUGACAUGAGAAGGUCACUAUUUUUUAUCAAGAUAAAAAUUACUUGUAUGUCUUGUAAUAACAUUAUUUAAUAUAUCCCUUUCAUAGCACACAUGUUCGUUUCAAAGAGAAGAAAACAUUUAUAAUUUUUCAAGGUCAAUAAUCUCAUGGAUGAAAUGCAAACUGUACUAUUUGAAAUAGGUGGUGUAGGUAUUUCAGAGUCUGUAUUACAGCUUGCCAGUUUAUUGUUGGAGGAAUAUUCUCAUCAAAUAAACUAUGUAAAGAUUUGCUUUUUAAUGCAAAGUAUUUUUAUAAGUAAUAACUUCAUUUCAACUUACAAUGAACAGUUAAUCAGUGCAUCUCACUUUGUAUCUAAUGCAUUUUUAGAACACAAAUUUGUGGUUUAAAACAUGUUGUAAUAGUUUAAUAAAUAAAUGCUAUUCAUUUUUUUUAAUUGACAAGAA